rnacentral:lncRNA from 1 species
GCGGCUUGACGGGGUUGUGAGCCCUUCUGGAAAAAGAGACGGUGAGGGAAGGAGCCCUGGAGAGGAAGCCCAGACGGAUGGGUGGAGCGGACCAUCCCGCCCCUGCCAGGCUCUCUGGGUGGUGGCAGUGCAGAGAGAAUCCCGCCGUUUUGGUAAGUGGCCCUUGGCCCGCAGACCCAAUAUGCUGCUCCUGACGGUGCCACAAAGAGCAAAGGGCACUGAUGGAGGAGUCAAGACAGACCUUGGCUCAAAUCCCUAGACCAUCGCUUUCUGUGUGACCUUAGAUGAGUAAACUGAGGCACAGAGAGGUUAAGAAACCUGCCCGAGGUCAAGCAGGAUUUGAACCCGGUCUUCAAAGUCUGUGGUCCAGCCUCUGGCAGCUCUUCUCCCACCAGCACGCAAGAACCUGAGGGGAGAGGAGCCGCCUUCCUUUGCCAUCGUCCCCGCUGUUCGCCGCGCAAUUAACGAUGAUUAUCUUGUCUCCUGGGAAUGAAAUCGAGGCAGCGUGACCGUGAGGCCGGCUACACCGAUCUGACAACUUCUCCCGGGAGAUAAGGGCUCUCGGCUGACACCAGGGUGGUGAUCUCAAACUACGGCACAGGAGGGAGCGUCUGGGAGCAGGAGAAAAGCUGUCGGCUUCAGUUUGCUGAUGUCUCCAACCAUCUGCCUUAUUGUCUAUAUGUCAGACAUGUAAAUCAGGGUCUUCCUGGAGAAGGGGGCCAGGCCUGGUCGUCGUGGGUCCCCGGCGUGGUCUGUGGUCAGGGCGGCCUCAGCAAAGACCUACUGAGCGAGCCUCAUGAGUGGGAGGCGAUUCCCAGACUCACUCCCCAGGAAGGACAGGCCUUGGGGUCGUGUGGACCCCACAUCCGUCUCUUUAAAGAGGAGGGAAUCCAGGUUUACGGAGGGGAAGUGACUUAUGCAAGGUCACACACAAAUCGAUGGGGAUCGGGACUUCAGGCUCCCUGGUCACUCCUCAUGACCUUAACGUGGACAGGACGCGUCACCUUGGCCUGGCCUGGCCCCCAGAGUAACGAGGAGAGGGGGUGGGGAUGGCUCAAGGGAACCCUUCCAGCUCCUGGGACUGUCCCCUCUGUAGGGACGAG